rnacentral:lncRNA from 1 species
GCAGAAGGAAACUGCACAUGUACUUCACAUUUAUAUUAUAAAUUCUCAUAGUCAAACAUUUACAUCGUUACAAUGUAUGCUAUUCACAGAUUACACAUAAAGAAUUGCAUCAUAAUUUAGCAGAUGCAGUUUGAAGACGUCCAAGUUGUACAGAAUGGAACUAGCACAGAGAGUAAAGCUUGUAAGUCUUCUACUUGAGCUCGGAGCAUAUGGUUACAGCAAGGUAUCUUGACCAGUCUUCGGGGACAUCUCCAACCUGAACAAGAAGAGAACAAUUGAAAGUACAUGUAUUAUAAAACAUGAUCUGCAUACAUUGAUUUACAACACUCAAAGAAUAUAAUGAGUGCACCAUUCCCACUUUUUUAUAACAAAGACGUCUACAUCAUCAAGAGAAUUUCUCAUCAACUUCCUUAAAGGCAUCAAGUGAAUAUUCAAUUUAAUAGGAAACUAUAAAAUGUCAGCAGUUUCAGGCCUUGACACACAAAUUAAGCAAAUCUAGUUGACCACAAUUACAUCAUCUGAUUACCUCUGAUAUUAAUUUCAGUUUCAUGUAUGUGAAAAUUCCAUAGAAUGUCGUCUAGAAAACUGCACAUAAGACAAAAUAGGAAGUGACAAAAAGAAGUGACAUCCACAACUUGUAUGAAUUUUUGACAUCAUAGGAUCACUAAAAUAGUUAUCUAAACACUCUUCUAGUUCUUUACAGAGGGAGUACCUUCUUAUUAGUCUUUUGGGCUCCCAAUCACAUGUACCGAUGUUCUUAUCCACUGCACUAGCACUUUCUGCAAAAAUAAAUUAUUAAGGUAACAAAAAUAGAACAAGUUAAAUGCCAAAAAGGUGGUACUGUUUCCAGUCUUAUAUGGUCAAUCGGUUGGCAACCAUAUAUGCAGAACAACCAUUUAAUCACAAAUUGAGUUGUACAAGACGCAUUCAACAAAAUAGAUGCGUAGCUAACAAAACACCUAUUUCUACUAGCAUGAUUUUAGACUUCCAGUGUGUAUCUGUAGUAAGAUUCAUGUUUGCGUACAAAAUACUAAACAGUGUAAUGACAGUCAACCAUUUUUUACACAUGAAAAGGUACAUUUCUCCCAAACAAUGCAAGUCCGGCAUAACAUAACUAGAUUUAUGAAAGAUUAUGCAGGACCAUAGAGAUAAUCAAGAAUGUGACAUCGUUUUGCUUGCAUCAAGGAAAAAAGAGUAUUGGAUCAAAGACUAAGCUUCCGACUACCAUGGUUUUUGAGUCGCGACUAGUCAAGUCUGCGGCUCGGCGAUUAGUCGACGAAAGUCGCUGUAUAGUCGCCAUAAGUCGCUGUAUAAUCGCGAGUCGCCCUGAUUUCUAGAAAACGACUUGGCGAUUAGUCAGCGACUAUACAGCGACUAAUCAGCGACUCAAAAACCAUGCCGACUACAUAAGACAUGCAAAAGCUUAGUUCCAAAACAUGCAUACACUGGACAUGUAAAAGCUUCCACUAAUCGUAUGCAUAAAAAGACUUAGGACAUUCAGGACAUGCAUACACAGGCCAAGCAAAAGCUCAGUCCAUAUGUUCACUACAGUUUCAUUUGCAUGAAGCUUAUAAGAAACCAAAUGCUAAAUGAAGUUUCAAUGUUCUGAAAUAGCAGCAAGCAUGUAUCCGAAAGAAAAAUACUAUAGCCAAGAGUUAACUACCAAGAUUAUGACCUCCUUAGUUUGCUUGUGGUCGCACUGCUGCUUUUUCCAUGAACUUAGAAUCCACUUUCAGCUGCAUACUCUGAGGCAAAGACUUUUAAGAAAUCAACCAUAAUAGUCAUUGGUAAAUGGAAGAUCUCUUCAACAUAAAAAAAAAACUUGGGCUAUAGGAUGGCAAAGAUAGUACCAGUUGGGCCAAGAUAAACAAACUGGACUCAUUCUAGUUACUGCUCUGAAGAAAAAGGGACAGAAGUUUGCAAAGUAAUCUCACCUGUCAAAUGGAGAGUGGAUUUUCAGCACCCGGGUGCCUAGGCACCCCCUUAUCAGCACAGUUUGUACAGAUUCCAGUCUUUGGGGAUAUGUGUCGUGUACUGUAGCAAACAACAGAUUAGCAGAUGUACUGGUUGUUAAUCAAGGGAAUCUGAGAGGAUUUCAAAUGGAGCAGCAGGAUAUGACAUCUCAGCCAGUAGUAAAGAAAAAUGCAAACGGUGUCGGUCCACAUUUCUGUCCUUUCCUCUCUUAGACUGUCACGCAAUACAUCUCUUCAUUCUAUAUUUUUAUUCUAUCUCUCACAUCACCUCUCUCUCUGACACACAACACCUCUCUCUCUUCCUUUUCUCUUCCUUUGAGUCUGACGUCUCACAGCACCUCUCUCUCUCUCUCUUCCUUUUUUCUUUUAAAAUUCAGGAAAAGAAGCGUCCUAAGAAAUUCUUGUCUCUCUCACACAGCUCCUCUCAGAUCGAAGAUUAUUUUUCUCUGUUUACUCUCUCUCUCUCUCACUUAAAUCCCAGGAGAAACAUCCUAAUUAAAAACAUCCCAGAAGAGAAGCUGGAAGCUGGAGUGAGCAAGCAUAACAACACGUGGCGAACGAGAAUCUCCUCUAAAAUGAACGGGCGCAUGCAGCAGCUGUAUGCUGUCGUUUCAUCCAUCUCGUGGGAUCAAAUGAUUCCUGACAUGCCUAGACCUGCCCUGCCUAACUCUGAAACCUACCGCCCCUUCCCUUCUGUCUUUGUCUCCUUUAAAAAGGGUCCAAAAUACUCUAAUGCUGCAACCACUCUGCGCCUCUACAGUGACCCAUCUGCGCCUCUACAGUGCUCAGCACGGAUCCUCGUGCCGCUGGACGGACGGGAUAACCGGGUGCCGGGGCACCCGGGCGCCGUCGCACCUUUCUCCUGUCAAAUGCUCUCAGUUGGGGCAAAGAAGUAGAGGAGGCGGCACUUGGAUAGGAUGUAGAGGAGGCCGACAAUAGGUGACACUAAGCCUAAAAAAAUUACAAAUAUCACCUUGUAAAAUUAAUAAGGGUUAAGCUAGAGUCACCUAAUAAAAUAUAAGUUGGAAUACUGUAGGAAAUACACCCACUCAAAUAUACACUGCAUUUGUAAACAAGAGCAAACUGUUAGUAACAUAGAGAUAUUAAUUUAAGUGAGAUAUUGCAUAGCACGUGCUUUGUCCACAUCUUUGCCAUAAGUCUAUAUCAUAAAAGCAUAGCACAUGUUCUGUCCACAUCUCGUAUUUCGCAAAACAAAAACAAAAAUGGGGCAUCAACUCAACAAACAAAGACUUAAAAUGAACUCCAAAGCUCAACUAAACAACUUAUUCAGGUUUUUGCUGUUAUUAGAUCAAAGUAAAUAACCUUCAAACUGACAGAAAAUUGAUGCUUUGUUCUAACUGACAAAAUAGUUCAGUGUUGCUACUGACAGAAUAGUUCAGUGCUGCUACUCCAAAGCUUAUGUUUUUUUUAUGUUAUUAGAUCAAAGCAAUUAAAAAUUGAUGCUUUGUUCUAACUGACAGAAUAGUUCAGUGCUACUACUUCAAUAUUAUUACACUUCUACACAUUGUGUAUAGCUGCACAUUCAGAACAAACAAGGAAAAGAGGGAAGCAGUAGUAGAAACUAUUUGUACACAGCUACUGGGAACAUGUCCAUGAUGUAAGAAAUCUGAUACAACUAUAUACCUUCAGGUAAGCAGUACUAUGAGGCGCAGAAAUUGUUCGAAACCAGUACAGCAGCGCUAGCGAUGUCGAUGCUCAGCAGCCAGAGCUGCCCGCUGGAGAGGAGGGCCAACGCGGUGAGCUGCUGCUUCGAGGGCUUGUGGAGGAGGCGGACCCGUGCUCGGGGAGGAAACGCACGAUUCGGGGUUGCAGCUCUGGGCGACGACGGCAGUGGUCGGCAGUGGCUUGCGGUCCAGUGGAGGGUGGUGGAUGGUUGGGAGGAGGGGGGGCGGCGGCGG